UGGGGAAUAUUGGACAAUGGGCGAAAGCCUGAUCCAGCCAUGCCGCGUGUGUGAAGAAGGUCUUCGGAUUGUAAAGCACUUUAAGUUGGGAGGAAGGGCAGUAAGCGAAUACCUUGCUGUUUUGACGUUACCGACAGAAUAAGCACCGGCUAACUCUGUGCCAGCAGCCGCGGUAAUACAGAGGGUGCGAGCGUUAAUCGGAUUUACUGGGCGUAAAGCGUGCGUAGGCGGCUAAUUGAGUCGGAUGUGAAAUCCCCGAGCUUAACUUGGGAAUUGCAUUCGAUACUGGUUAGCUAGAGUGUGGGAGAGGAUGGUAGAAUUCCAGGUGUAGCGGUGAAAUGCGUAGAGAUCUGGAGGAAUACCGAUGGCGAAGGCAGCCAUCUGGCCUAACACUGACACUGAGGUGCGAAAGCGUGGGGAGCAAACAGG
rnacentral:rRNA from 1 species